rnacentral:rRNA from 1 species
UACGUAGGGGGCGAGCGUUGUCCGGAUUUAUUGGGCGUAAAGAGCGUGUAGGCGGUUCGGUAAGUCUGUCGUGAAAUCCUGAGGCUCAACCUCGGGCGUGCGAUGGAUACUGCCGGGCUAGAGGAUGGUAGAGGCGAGUGGAAUUCCCGGUGUAGCGGUGAAAUGCGCAGAUAUCAGGAGGAACACCGGUGGCGAAGGCGGUUCUCUGGGCCUGUACUGACGCUGAGGAACGAAAGCGUGGGGAGCGAACAGG